rnacentral:rRNA from 3 species
GGGUUGUGAGGUUAAGCGACUAAGCGUACACGGUGGAUGCCCUGGCAGUCAGAGGCGAUGAAGGACGUGCUAAUCUGCGAUAAGCGUCGGUAAGGUGAUAUGAACCGUUAUAACCGGCGAUUUCCGAAUGGGGAAACCCAGUGUGAUUCGUCACACUAUCAUUAACUGAAUCCAUAGGUUAAUGAGGCGAACCGGGGGAACUGAAACAUCUAAGUACCCCGAGGAAAAGAAAUCAACCGAGAUUCCCCCAGUAGCGGCGAGCGAACGGGGAGGAGCCCAGAGCCUGAAUCAGUGUGUGUGUUAGUGGAAGCGUCUGGAAAGGCGCGCGAUACAGGGUGACAGCCCCGUACACAAAAAUGCACAUGCUGUGAGCUCGAUGAGUAGGGCGGGACACGUGGUAUCCUGUCUGAAUAUGGGGGGACCAUCCUCCAAGGCUAAAUACUCCUGACUGACCGAUAGUGAACCAGUACCGUGAGGGAAAGGCGAAAAGAACCCCGGCGAGGGGAGUGAAAAAGAACCUGAAACCGUGUACGUACAAGCAGUGGGAGCACAGAGCAAUCUGUGUGACUGCGUACCUUUUGUAUAAUGGGUCAGCGACUUAUAUUCUGUAGCAAGGUUAACCGAAUAGGGGAGCCGAAGGGAAACCGAGUCUUAACUGGGCGUUAAGUUGCAGGGUAUAGACCCGAAACCCGGUGAUCUAGCCAUGGGCAGGUUGAAGGUUGGGUAACACUAACUGGAGGACCGAACCGACUAAUGUUGAAAAAUUAGCGGAUGACUUGUGGCUGGGGGUGAAAGGCCAAUCAAACCGGGAGAUAGCUGGUUCUCCCCGAAAGCUAUUUAGGUAGCGCCUCGUGAAUUCAUCUCCGGGGGUAGAGCACUGUUUCGGCAAGGGGGUCAUCCCGACUUACCAACCCGAUGCAAACUGCGAAUACCGGAGAAUGUUAUCACGGGAGACACACGGCGGGUGCUAACGUCCGUCGUGAAGAGGGAAACAACCCAGACCGCCAGCUAAGGUCCCAAAGUCAUGGUUAAGUGGGAAACGAUGUGGGAAGGCCCAGACAGCCAGGAUGUUGGCUUAGAAGCAGCCAUCAUUUAAAGAAAGCGUAAUAGCUCACUGGUCGAGUCGGCCUGCGCGGAAGAUGUAACGGGGCUAAACCAUGCACCGAAGCUGCGGCAGCGACACUGUGUGUUGUUGGGUAGGGGAGCGUUCUGUAAGCCUGUGAAGGUGUGCUGUGAGGCAUGCUGGAGGUAUCAGAAGUGCGAAUGCUGACAUAAGUAACGAUAAAGCGGGUGAAAAGCCCGCUCGCCGGAAGACCAAGGGUUCCUGUCCAACGUUAAUCGGGGCAGGGUGAGUCGACCCCUAAGGCGAGGCCGAAAGGCGUAGUCGAUGGGAAACAGGUUAAUAUUCCUGUACUUGGUGUUACUGCGAAGGGGGACGGAGAAGGCUAUGUUGGCCGGGCGACGGUUGUCCCGGUUUAAGCGUGUAGGCUGGUUUUCCAGGCAAAUCCGGAAAAUCAAGGCUGAGGCGUGAUGACGAGGCACUACGGUGCUGAAGCAACAAAUGCCCUGCUUCCAGGAAAAGCCUCUAAGCAUCAGGUAACAUCAAAUCGUACCCCAAACCGACACAGGUGGUCAGGUAGAGAAUACCAAGGCGCUUGAGAGAACUCGGGUGAAGGAACUAGGCAAAAUGGUGCCGUAACUUCGGGAGAAGGCACGCUGAUAUGUAGGUGAAGUCCCUCGCGGAUGGAGCUGAAAUCAGUCGAAGAUACCAGCUGGCUGCAACUGUUUAUUAAAAACACAGCACUGUGCAAACACGAAAGUGGACGUAUACGGUGUGACGCCUGCCCGGUGCCGGAAGGUUAAUUGAUGGGGUCAGCGCAAGCGAAGCUCUUGAUCGAAGCCCCGGUAAACGGCGGCCGUAACUAUAACGGUCCUAAGGUAGCGAAAUUCCUUGUCGGGUAAGUUCCGACCUGCACGAAUGGCGUAAUGAUGGCCAGGCUGUCUCCACCCGAGACUCAGUGAAAUUGAACUCGCUGUGAAGAUGCAGUGUACCCGCGGCAAGACGGAAAGACCCCGUGAACCUUUACUAUAGCUUGACACUGAACAUUGAGCCUUGAUGUGUAGGAUAGGUGGGAGGCUUUGAAGUGUGGACGCCAGUCUGCAUGGAGCCGACCUUGAAAUACCACCCUUUAAUGUUUGAUGUUCUAACGUGGACCCGUGAUCCGGGUUGCGGACAGUGUCUGGUGGGUAGUUUGACUGGGGCGGUCUCCUCCUAAAGAGUAACGGAGGAGCACGAAGGUUGGCUAAUCCUGGUCGGACAUCAGGAGGUUAGUGCAAUGGCAUAAGCCAGCUUGACUGCGAGCGUGACGGCGCGAGCAGGUGCGAAAGCAGGUCAUAGUGAUCCGGUGGUUCUGAAUGGAAGGGCCAUCGCUCAACGGAUAAAAGGUACUCCGGGGAUAACAGGCUGAUACCGCCCAAGAGUUCAUAUCGACGGCGGUGUUUGGCACCUCGAUGUCGGCUCAUCACAUCCUGGGGCUGAAGUAGGUCCCAAGGGUAUGGCUGUUCGCCAUUUAAAGUGGUACGCGAGCUGGGUUUAGAACGUCGUGAGACAGUUCGGUCCCUAUCUGCCGUGGGCGCUGGAGAACUGAGGGGGGCUGCUCCUAGUACGAGAGGACCGGAGUGGACGCAUCACUGGUGUUCGGGUUGUCAUGCCAAUGGCACUGCCCGGUAGCUAAAUGCGGAAGAGAUAAGUGCUGAAAGCAUCUAAGCACGAAACUUGCCCCGAGAUGAGUUCUCCCUGACCCUUUAAGGGUCCUGAAGGAACGUUGAAGACGACGACGUUGAUAGGCCGGGUGUGUAAGCGCAGCGAUGCGUUGAGCUAACCGGUACUAAUGAACCGUGAGGCUUAACCUUACAACGCCGAAGGUGUUU